AUUGAACGCUGGCGGCAGGCCUAACACAUGCAAGUCGAACGGUAACAGGGAUCAGCUUGCUGAUUCGCUGACGAGUGGCGGACGGGUGAGUAAUGUCUGGGAAACUGCCUGAUGGAGGGGGAUAACUACUGGAAACGGUAGCUAAUACCGCAUAACGUCGCAAGACCAAAGAGGGGGACCUUCGGGCCUCUUGCCAUCGGAUGUGCCCAGAUGGGAUUAGCUAGUAGGUGGGGUAACGGCUCACCUAGGCGACGAUCCCUAGCUGGUCUGAGAGGAUGACCAGCCACACUGGAACUGAGACACGGUCCAGACUCCUACGGGAGGCAGCAGUGGGGAAUAUUGCACAAUGGGCGCAAGCCUGAUGCAGCCAUGCCGCGUGUAUGAAGAAGGCCUUCGGGUUGUAAAGUACUUUCAGCGGGGAGGAAGGGAGUAAAGUUAACACCUUUGCUCAUUGACGUUACCCGCAGAAGAAGCACCGGCUAACUCCGUG
rnacentral:rRNA from 1 species